UAUAUACGGUACAUAUGUUAUGAUUUUUUUCCAAUUGAGUCAUCAAUGUUGUGGUGCACGUGCCUGACCUGUGCGUGGCCGGUGUGGCUUCAGUUGCCAAUUUCUUCUAUGAUCCUAUUUUUUUCCCCAUUGUAUAACAUAUUGUCAUUAUUUUGCAAUUUGUUUUAUAAUGUCAACAUGAUUUAAACAUGCAGUGGGUCAUUACAAUAAGCAAUUUUUUUUUUUUUGGUAUACCAAAGAAAUACUUAACAAGAGGUGGAAUAUGAUACGACGCUGUCAAACUCACUGAUGUCGUCGGUGGAGGAGGAGAACGCUGGUUGUCGGCGGUCCCGUCGGCGCAAAGACGAGGGGCUGCGUGCAGAGAGAAAACAUGUUUGCAAUCAUUGUUCUCAAUGCACAGUUUGAUGUCCACAAUUCUCCGAUGGCCGGAAAUGACCAACGCGAGUCUAAAAUGGCGACUUGGAAGCAAAAUGGCUGA